rnacentral:rRNA from 1 species
UACGUAGGGGGCAAGCGUUGUCCGGAAUUAUUGGGCGUAAAGAGCUCGUAGGCGGUCUGUCACGUCUGCUGUGAAAACUCGGGGCUUAACCCCGGGCCUGCAGUGGGUACGGGCAGACUAGAGUGCGGUAGGGGAGACUGGAAUUCCUGGUGUAGCGGUGAAAUGCGCAGAGUAUCAGGAGGAACACCGGUGGCGAAGGCGGUUCUCUGGGCCGUUACCUGACGCUGGAGGAGCGAAAGCAUGGGGAGCAAACAGG